rnacentral:rRNA from 1 species
UGGGGAAUAUUGGACAAUGGGCGCAAGCCUGAUCCAGCAAUGCCGCGUGAGUGAGGAAGGCCUUAGGGUUGUAAAGCUCUUUCACCCACGACGAUGAUGACGGUAGUGGGAGAAGAAGCCCCGGCUAACUUCGUGCCAGCAGCCGCGGUAAUACGAAGGGGGCGAGCGUUGUUCGGAUUUACUGGGCGUAAAGGGCGCGCAGGCGGCAGAUCAAGUCAGGCGUGAAAGCCCCGGGCUCAACCUGGGAAUGGCGCCUGGGACUGGUUUGCUAGAGAUCGGGAGAGGAGCGUGGAAUUCCCAGUGUAGAGGUGAAAUUCGUAGAUAUUGGGAAGAACACCGGUGGCGAAGGCGGCGCUCUGGACCGAGACUGACGCUGAGGCGCGAAAGCGUGGGGAGCAAACAGGAUUAGAUACCCCCGUAGUCC